UGCCUUUAGGUUUUUAAUAAAAGGUUUAUUCUGCUCAGUGAUCUUAAACAGCCGCGGUAAUUUGACCGUGCAAAGGUAGCAUAAUCAUUUGCCUUAUAAUUGGGGGCUGGUAUGAAAGAAUAAACAAGAGUUUAGCUUUAUUUUUAGGAUUGUAAGAAUUUUCUUUUUUAGUGAAGAAGCUAAAAUGUUGAAAGGGGACAAGAAGACCCUUUUGAGCUUUACUGAUUUUCUUCUUUUUGGGGAGAAAUCAGUUUGGUUGGGGCGACCAAGGAAAAAGACCUUCCUUAAUAAAUAUUGAUCCGUUGUUUUCGAUUAAAAGAGUAAGUUACCAAAGGGAUAACAGCGUAAUCUUUUUUGAGAGUUCUAAUUAAAAAAAUGGAUUGCGACCUCGAUGUUGACUUAUAUUCUCCUGCUGGUGCAGCAGCUAGUAGGGUGGGUCUGUUCGACCUU
rnacentral:rRNA from 1 species